CGUGAGUGAAGAAGGUUUUCGGAUCGUAAAGCUCUGUUGUUGGUGAAGAAGGAUAGAGGCAGUAACUGGUCUUUAUUUGACGGUAAUCAACCAGAAAGUCACGGCUAACUACGUGCCAGCAGCCGCGGUAAUACGUAGGUGGCAAGCGUUGUCCGGAUUUAUUGGGCGUAAAGCGAGCGCAGGCGGAAUGAUAAGUCUGAUGUGAAAGCCCACGGCUCAACCGUGGAACUGCAUCGGAAACUGUCAUUCUUGAGUGCAGAAGAGGAGAGUGGAAUUCCAUGUGUAGCGGUGGAAUGCGUAGAUAUAUGGAAGAACACCAGUGGCGAAGGCGGCUCUCUGGUCUGCAACUGACGCUGAGGCUCGAAAGCAUGGGUAGCGAACAGGAUUAGAUACCCUGGUAGUCCAUGCCGUAAACGAUGAGCGCUAGGUGUUGGGGACUUUCCGGUCCUCAGUGCCGCAGCAAACGCAUUAAGCGCUCCGCCUGGGGAGUACGACCGCAAGGUUGAAACUCAAAGGAAUUGACGGGGGCCCGCACAAGCGGUGGAGCAUGUGGUUUAAUUCGAAGCAACGCGAAGAACCUUACCAGGUCUUGACAUCCUGGGCUACACCUAAAGAUAGGUGGUUCCCUUCGGGGACC
rnacentral:rRNA from 1 species